CCACCCCGCCAGCCAUGGCGCCGCCCCCCACAUCCGCUGCAGGCCAGCAGCAGCGCCGAGGGUGGAGCCCGAGCCUAAUAUAACUGCACAUAUGCAUCUACUACUGAGGAUUUCCUGCCCAGGGUUCAGGCAUUGUCACCC